CACGUAGGGCGCGAGCGUUGUCCGGAAUUAUUGGGCGUAAAGGGCUCGUAGGCGGUUUGUCGCGUCGGGAGUGAAAUUCCCUGGCUUAACUGGGGGCGUGCGGGCGAUACGGGCAGACUGGAGUACUGCAGGGGAGACUGGAAUUCCUGGUGUAGCGGUGAAAUGCGCAGAUAUCAGGAGGAACACCGGUGGCGAAGGCGGUUCUCUGGGCCUGUACUGACGCUGAGGAGCGAAAGCGUGGGGAGCGAACAGG
rnacentral:rRNA from 1 species